CAGCACUUUGAGAUAUCAGCUGAUGUACGAAGGGCUAUAUAAAUAAAUUUGAUUUGAUUUGAUGGCAAAGCCAUAACAUGAACACAACCUGUGUUUUUAGGCCUAUACGAAACAAACUUAAUGUUGGUAGAAUCCUGGAUAUUGUACCAAUAACAAACAUGGCAUGCCCUCAUGGGGAGAAAAGUCAUCGGUCAGCAUACACCUUGCCUCUUUUUCCAUCCGUUUGGAGAGAGGAGGUGUGAUGAUAUACACAAAGACACGCUCUCAAUGCGUUGAGGAGAGGUGGGGGUGGUGGAAGAAGGUGAGCCUUCAUUCUCCCGAUAGCUCACAGUUCUUCUCAGUUUGAGUUCUGAAAGGGACGGCAACAGCUCAACUGUCAUUACUUGGCUUUCUCCCUCUGCCUGGUGUCUGUUGCAUACAGAGAGGCAGCAAUCAACUACAGAACAGUAGCAAUGUGCAUGGAGAUUGGCUGCUUAGUGCUCUGUGUGAGUGGAUGGAUCCUGGUCUGCUCUACAAUGCCACUGAGAUCUGGACCUGCUCUGAGGUAGACAGCAUCGUUCUGACCACUUCAAACUACUUCUCCAAUCUCUGGAAGGAUUGCACUUCUGAUUCAACAGGAGUGUUCAACUGCAAGGGUAUCCCAUCAAUGUUCGCAUUGAACUGGGGCAUCCAUGUGCUCCGGGCUCUGAUUAUCACCUCUAUUAUCUUUGGAUUCUGAGAUAGGAGGAUCUUCUGCACUAAGAUAGGAGGAUCUGAGAUUGGAUCUGAAAAGUGGGACUUUUGAUGGAUGGAUUAACUAUCUUGUGUCUGGUAAACAUUUAUUUUUGUUGAUGUGGUUAUUCUGAUCAUUGGGUUCCUGGGUGAACUCAAACAGUCGAGUUGUCUUGUUUCAGGGUUGUGUUCCAUGACUGCAUUCUCUUAUUAUGGAAACAAAGUAAGAGCAGAAUUUCAGGAUCUCAAUUUCAGGGCACAAGAGUUAGUAGACAUUUAUCAAUUCUAUGUAGAUCCAAUACUUAAACUGGCGUUUAGAUUUGUACUCAGUAAUAUAUGAAAACACGUCACAGCUAUUAUAGUAUAAGGGAGGGACAUGGAGUUGUAAACAAUGAAAAUGAAUGACACACCUUCAUGGUAUUUUUUAAAAAUCAGAUACUAAUAGGUAAAGAAAUCGAAGUAGGUGUUUCCAUUGGAUGUGGAGGCUCGAACCUACUGGUCGUUGGGGGCCUCAUUUGCAGUUUCUUUGCACAUAAGGGAGGGUGUCAAUCAAGAUCAAAGAACAAACACAUGCCUGUCUACAAGUUCCCUGAUAGCUACAUGGCACCUCCAUCUAAACAGAGGUACCUACCUGUGUCAACAGAACUCACAGAGGGUGGAGAGAGCAUAAGACCAAGACCAGCAGUAAGACUAGGAGCAUAAGGAGCAGCAGCAAGACACCCUCCAGUUUGAACACGUAUGUGUUGUGACCUGCAGUUUGACAUUUGUAAAAAAAACAAAAAAUAAAAUAAAAACAUUAAGCUCUUUCUAUGAGACUGACCAGGUGAAAGCUAAGAUCCCUUAUUGGUGUCACUUGUUAAAUCCACUUCAAUCAGUGUAUAUGAAG